GCUCAAUGAUUUUUUAAAUUGCUGUGGUAUUUUGACUAUACAAAGGUAUUGAAAUAAGACUUUAAUUGAGUGCUAAGAGAAUGGAAAUACAGAAAAAUUCUUUCUUAAAUUCAAAAAUUAAAGUUAUUUUUAUUUGUGAAGAAACAGUAAUAUUAAUUAAGGACAAGAAGACCCUAAGAAUUUUCUGAAAAAUCAAUUUUUUAAUUGAAAAUUUUCUUUAAUUGGGGCGAUUAAUAAAAAUUUAAAACUUUAUUUAAAUAACAAAAAAUGAACCAAUAUUAUUGGUCAUAUGAAAAAAAUACUCUAGGGAUAACAGCGUAAUAAUUUUUGAUAGUUCUUAUAGACAAAAUAGUUUGCGACCUCGAUGUUGGAUUAGGAUACUUUUUUAAUGAAGAAGUUAAAAAAAGAAG
rnacentral:rRNA from 1 species